rnacentral:rRNA from 1 species
CAAUAGCGUAUAUUAAAGCUGUUGCGGUUAAAAAGCUCGUAGUUGGAUUUCUGUCAAGGACAACUGGCCCGCCCCUCGGGUGAGCACAUAGUUUGGUCUUGGCAUCUUGUUGGAAACUGUUGCUGCACUUGGUUGUGUGGCGCAGUGUCCAGCACUUUCACUUUGAGGAAAUUGGAGUGUUUCAAGCAGGCACAUGCCUUUGGACACAGUAGCAUGGAAUAAUUAGAUUGGGCUUUUGCUCCAACUUGUCGGUUUCUGGAGCUGAGGUGAGAAUUAAUGGGGAUUGUUGGGGGCAUCCGAAUUUAGCCGUCAGAGGUGAAAUUCUUGGAUCUGCUAAAGACGGACAACUGCGAAAGCGUUUGCCCAGGAUGUUUUCAUUGA